rnacentral:rRNA from 1 species
CCCGCUGAACUUAAGCAUAUCAAUAAGCGGAGGAAAAGAAACUAACAAGGAUUCCCCUAGUAACUGCGAGUGAAGCGGGAAGAGCUCAAAUUUUGAAUCUGGCGGUGUUUGGCCGUCCGAGUUGUAAUCUAGAGAAGCGUCUUCCGCGCUGGACCGUGUACAAGUCUCCUGGAAGGGAGCGUCAUAGAGGGUGAGAAUCCCGUCUUUGACACGGACUGCCAGGGCUUUGUGAUGUGCUCUCAAAGAGUCGAGUUGUUUGGGAAUGCAGCUCAAAAUGGGUGAGUAAAUUCCAUCUAAAGCUAAAUAUUGGCGAGAGACCGAUAGCGAACAAGUACCGUGAGGGAAAGAUGAAAAGAACUUUGGACAGAGAGUUAAACAGUACGUGAAAUUGCUGAAAGGGAAACGCUUGAAGUCAGUCACGUUGGCCAGGGAUCAACCUUGCUUUUGCUUGGUGUACUUUCUGGUUGAUGGGUCAGCAUCAAUUUCGAUCCUUGGAUAAUGGCAAGGGAAAGGUAGCACCUUUACAGGUGUGUUAUAGUCCUUUGUCGGAUGCAAGGGUUGGGAUUGAGGAACUCAGCACGCACCUCAUCGGUGUCGGGGCCUUUUGGCCUACGUUACGUGCUUAGGAUGCUGGCAUAAUGGCUUUAAACGACCCGUCUUGAAACACGG